UACGGGGGGAGCAAGCGUUGUUCGGAUUUACUGGGCGUAAAGGGCGCGUAGGCGGCCUGUGCAAGUCAGUUGUGAAAUCUCCGAGCUUAACUCGGAACGGUCAACUGAUACUGCUCGGCUAGAGUGCGGAAGGGGCAACUGGAAUUCUUGGUGUAGCGGUGAAAUGCGCAGAUAUCAGGAGGAACACCGGUGGCGAAGGCGGGUCUCUGGGCCGAUAUCGACGCUGAGGAGCGAAAGCGUGGGGAGCGAACAGG
rnacentral:rRNA from 1 species